GACGAACGCUGGCGGCGUGCUUAACACAUGCAAGUCGAGCGGUAAGGCCCUUUCGGGGUACGACGAGCGGCGAACGGGUGAGUAACACGUGGGUGACCUGCCCUCAGCUCUGGGAGUAAGCCUGGGAAACCGGGUCUAAUACUGGAUAUGACUCCAUGACGCAUGUUGUGGGGUGGAAAGCCUUGUGCGGCUGAGGAUGGGCCCGCGGCCUAUCAGCUUGUUGGUGGGGUGAGGCCUACCAAGGCGACGACGGGUAGCCGGCCUGAGAGGGCGACCGGCCACACUGGGACUGAGACACGGCCCAGACUCCUACGGGAGGCAGCAGUGGGGAAUCUUGCGCAAUGGGCGAAAGCCUGACGCAGCGACGCCGCGUGAGGGAUGACGGCC
rnacentral:rRNA from 1 species